rfam:Triticum aestivum genome assembly, contig: Triticum_aestivum_CS42_TGACv1_scaffold_406948_5BL
UAUGUACUCCCUCCGUCCGGAAAUACUUGUCGGAGAAAUGGAUGAAAAUGGAUGUAUCUAGAACCAAAUUGCAUCUAGAUACAUCCAUUCCUCCGACAAGUAUUUUCGGACGGAGGGAGUAUCUU